AUACUGCUUAGUGUUCUUUGUUACUUCAGCUUUUGUACGUUCUAAAUAUCUGCUGUCAUUAAUUGCCACAGAAGUUAAACCCUACCCAAUGGAAUGACGUUAACCAACGACUUUGGUGCAGAGUUAGCAACUGGAUAAUAUCAAAGCUAAAAUAAUGGCCGUCAUUCACACAUGUUACAGUAGAAGAUACUCUAGAACUGUACGAGGUUAAAAAGGUAACAUGUAGUUUGUCCCAAGGUGUCUGCCUCCUCACCCAGAGCAAGACCUCCACCUCCUCACCCAGAGCCAGACCUCCACCUCCUGUCAGAAGUCCUCCAGAACAGCUGAAAGGCGAGGCUGGGGACCGGAGGCUUGUGGUGCCAGGAUGGACCAGAGACUGAGGCUGGAGACCAGGGGCCUGCAGCAACGGACCAGAGGACCAGGAAUCCAUGGCUGAAGGAGCUGAUGGAGGAGCCGUGCUGAAGGAGCUGAUGGAGGAGUCGUGCUGAAGGCCCUGCCUUGUGGAGGAGCUGGUGGAGGACCUGCCUGGUGAA
rnacentral:lncRNA from 1 species